rnacentral:rRNA from 1 species
CAGUCGCCGCGGUAAGACAGAGGAUGCAAGCGUUAUCCGGAAUGAUUGGGCGUAAAGCGUCAGUAGGUGGCUUUUCAAGUCCGCCGUCAAAUCCCAGGGCUCAACCCUGGACAGGCGGUGGAAACUACCAAGCUAGAGUACGGUAGGGGCAGAGGGAAUUUCCGGUGGAGCGGUGAAAUGCGUUGAGAUCGAAAAGAACACCAACGACGAAAGCACUCUGCUGGGCCGACACUGACACUGAGAGACGAAAGCUAGGGGAGCAAAUGGGAUUAGAGACCCCUGUAGUCCCUGUCUCUUAUAC